AUGUGCAUGAGACAUGGCUACUACCUCAUACGGAUACUUUGUGCAUCCUCGGGUACCAUGGAGAAGCUAAGGAGUAAGGAGAAGAAGAAGAGGAAGAUGGAAGUGAAGACAGAGAUGAAGAAGAAGGAUUGUUUAAAGUCUCCAGGCUCCGGACGACCGACGAGCCCCGGACGUCGGACGACCUCCAGGCUCCGGACGUCUGGCCUCCUCCGGACGACCGACACUACCACACCCGAGCCAAAACAGACGGACAUCCGACGCCCUACGGACGACCGACGCCCGGACGUCCCGAUCGGACGACCGACCGAAGACAACCCGAGCCGAAUUUACGGACGUCCGACAGGCACCGGACGUCCGGACCCUCGCGAGCCUCCGGACGACCAGUGA
rnacentral:rRNA from 1 species